rnacentral:rRNA from 1 species
AUUGAACGCUGGCGGCAGGCCUAACACAUGCAAGUCGAACGAGUGGCGGACGGGUGAGUAAUGUCUGGGAAACUGCCUGAUGGAGGGGGAUAACUACUGGAAACGGUAGCUAAUACCGCAUACCACAGGAUGUGCCCAGAUGGGUUUAGCUGGUGGGUGGGGUAAAGGCUCACCUAGGCGACGAUCCGUAGCUGGUCUGAGAGGAUGACCAGCCAAACUGGAACUGUGACACGGUCCAGACUCCUAAGGGAGGCAGCAGUGGGGAAUAUUGCACAAUGGGCGCAAGCCUGAUGCAGCCAUGCCGCGUGUAUGAAGAAGGCCUUCGGGUUGUAAAGUACUUUCAGCGGGGAGGCGUUACCCGCAGAAGAAGCACCGGCUAACUCCGUGCCAGCAGCCGCGGUAAUAC